AUAGAGGUGUUUGGGGUGUCAGCUCUGAAAUGCUAAAAAUAAAACCAGGCUUUCCAUCCUGGGAUGUCUCAUUAGUGUGCUUACAAAUGAGUCCCCCUGCAGUUUUUCAGCAAUUGGCUAACAAGCUCUAAUUUGAGCGUUUGGGCUGGACCUUGGCUCAGCGGGAGCAGACGCGGAGCAGAUGUCUUCUCGGAGCUGCCUGUUUGGGGAAGCUGGUCAGUUUCCACCCUCUCUCAGCAUCCCAGAACAGGGAAGCUGCAGGAAGGUUGAAAAAAGCACAGCAAAGCAGGGAGAGCCUCCUCUGUGGAGAGCAACGCCCAGUCCUUCUAGGUCAUGUGGAGUGGGCCAGCUUUAACGAACCUGUCCUAAAAGGAAGGAAGAGAAAGAGCUCAGCUCCUUAGGGGAACGAGGUGGACCUUGGCAGCUGUCUCACUCCUCACCAGCUCUUCACCUCAGAUCUUGUCCUGACUUCCUGGUCCGCUAAUGGCCUCCUGGAUAGAAGAGUCGGCUCACCAGCCCAGGAGAUGUUCUGAAAAUUGACAAUGAUCAUGAUAUACCCUGGGUCCAGAAUACUUCUCUAUACGAUGGGCAGAGAACAAAGAUUGGCAGCUUCCUCCUGAGCACACUGGGAUGUGACAUGACAUCGGGGCUGCCGAGCGCCCUUACCUUCAGCUACCCAGACGCAGAGGCAAUUCCACAAGGUACUGGCACAAGAAGAGUCAUGGAAGACUGACCUGGCCAUGGCUUCUCAUCUCCCAGCUCAGGACCUGCCACAUCAAUUCCCCCUUUCCUCUGGCCGUCAUGUGUGGAGUGAAAUUCUCAGAAGUGGCUGUCCCUGCGCACCUCUCUGGCUGUGUCCAGAAAAUGAACAUCUGUUUACAGCUUCAAUUUUCUAAUGAUUAGAAUGCCACAAACAAAGAAAACCCAGAGGAAAGCUGUUGAUGCUGAAAUAUUUCCUUCCUUUACAUAUUCCAUGAUGCAUCGUGUGGGGUUAUGCAAAUAGUAAUAUCUCAUUAAACAUUCUGGUCUCUUGG
rnacentral:lncRNA from 1 species